rnacentral:rRNA from 1 species
UACGUAGGGUGCAAGCGUUAAUCGGAAUUACUGGGCGUAAAGCGUGCGCAGGCGGUUUUUUAAGGUCGGUGUGAAAUCCCCGGGCUUAACCUGGGAACUGCAUUGGUGACUGCAAGGCUUGAGUGUGUCAGAGGGAGGUGGAAUUCCGCGUGUAGCAGUGAAAUGCGUAGAUAUGCGGAGGAACACCGAUGGCGAAGGCAGCCUCCUGGGAUAACACUGACGCUCAUGCACGAAAGCGUGGGGAGCAAACCGG